rnacentral:snoRNA from 1 species
CACGCCACUUUGCCAGUCUGUCUGUGCCUGAGUAUAAACCAGUAGGGGCUAAGAUGGAACCAGUUCUAGGAAACAGGGCUGCCUAGUUGGUGGGCAACUUAUGUGCCGAAAGACUUGGAAUAAAU